UUCUAAUAUGGCAGAUUAGUGCAAUGGAAUUAAGACCCAUUUAUAAAGUUUAUUCUUUUUUUAGAA
rnacentral:tRNA from 1 species